rnacentral:sRNA from 1 species
GAAGCUUACCAAAAAGUAAUGGAAUAU